rnacentral:sRNA from 1 species
AUCGCUUGCCCUCCUUGGGCGUUUCCUCCCUAGACUUGGGUCGCUUGUUCGACGAGCGGCCCUUUUUCUUUGCUUC